GGCGCCCUGCGGUGUGCGUGAUGCUGUUCUGACGCCCAGACCCUACAUCAAGCGAGAGGGGUCUGUUGCUCUUAUGAGAUGGGGUGACCUCCGGCCUCGGCCGGCGGACACUCUGUCGGGCAGGACCCCACCUGACCGACGCGGGUUCUCGCGCGUCUCAGCACACGGCACUGCGGGGCGUGU
rnacentral:other from 1 species